UCGAGGCUGCUGUCGCGGACGGAAGAAUGAAGCUGCUAGCAAAGAAAAAGCGAACGGCCAAGCAGUUCUGCUGUGUUCCUCGGUGCGUGCCAGCGAGAUGGAAGGACAGCGAUAUUUCCGUUCACGCACUUCCCUCCGAGUGGAAAGGCUGAAGCCGCAGAACCAGGUGGAUCGCUAACCUCCGCAUCGGCAAGGCUGUGACGCUUACAGUGACUGUUUGCUCACGGCAUUUUGCACGGGAUAAUUUCUCCUUACCAGAUGUAGCAUGUCAAAGACAGCGGCUGAAAAAAAUGCAGUACCAACUGAAAACCUGCCAAGGACGUCAUGUUAUGAUGAGAACAAGGAUGCUCAUAUGAAAGAGCUUUUACUGGCAAGACUUCGCCGACGUGUGUAUCGGUCAGCCAGAGUAAGUUAAUUUGACUACAUGGUGCAGCACUUAUAUGCUUAUGGUACAUACACCAUGUCUACAAGCAUGCAAUAGAUGUCAACACCUUUUAAUGCAUUACAGAAUGAAUCAAGCAAGGAAACUGCUGCCUCCCCAUUAGAAGCAAAGGUGUUGCCCCAUGCACCUGUCAGCACGACCACCAUGGACGAUCUCCCAUCCCCUGACCGCAACAGCAUGGACCAAAUAAGUGACAAAGGAAAUAUGGAAUGUGCUUGCCAACCUGGCCUCCAGACAUUAAUGGCAGAGUACUCAAGAGAAGAAGACGUGGCAAAUUUCCUACUAGAAAUGGCUUCACGGACAAGGCUUACAGAAAGCAAGGCUGCCCAAGUGACAUCGGGUACUUUUCCACAGAAGUUUGUGAACACGAUAAAUAGUAGCAACGUAAAUACAUUCACAGGCCUGCCAUCAUUCGAUGUUCUGAAUGCUCGUGUGACGUGCUACACAAAAAUUCAUCCACUUUCAGGACGGCACCAGUUAUGUGUAAAAACAAUUGCAUUGACAUUGGUGAAAUUGAAGCAUAUUUCCACUGCAUUCUUGAGUCACCUUUUUAACUGUUCUCUAACUACAUGUAGCAACAUAAUUGCAGACACUGCUCAGUUGAUGUGUGAAAUUUUAAAAGUAACUGUGGCUGUGCCACCAAAAGAUGAAUUCCAGUGGCACGUUUGCAUAUUCGGCAUUAGGUGAUUCACCUGAAGUCGUGCCAUGGCUGGGGAUAUUGCAAGUAGCCUGUAUUGCAUAGAGGCAUUUG